rnacentral:rRNA from 1 species
UGGGGAAUUUUGGACAAUGGGCGAAAGCCUGAUCCAGCAAUGCCGCGUGUGUGAAGAAGGCCUUCGGGUUGUAAAGCACUUUUGUCCGGAAAGAAAUCCUUGGCUCUAAUACAGUCGGGGGAUGACGGUACCGGAAGAAUAAGCACCGGCUAACUACGUGCCAGCAGCCGCGGUAAUACGUAGGGUGCAAGCGUUAAUCGGAAUUACUGGGCGUAAAGCGUGCGCAGGCGGCUUGCUAAGACCGAUGUGAAAUCCCCGGGCUCAACCUGGGAACUGCAUUGGUGACUGGCAGGCUAGAGUAUGGCAGAGGGGGGUAGAAUUCCACGUGUAGCAGUGAAAUGCGUAGAGAUGUGGAGGAAUACCGAUGGCGAAGGCAGCCCCCUGGGCCAAUACUGACGCUCAUGCACGAAAGCGUGGGGAGCAAACAGGAUUAGAUACCCUGGUAGUCCACGCCCUAAAACGAUGUCAACUAGUUGUUGGGGAUUCAUUUCCUUAGUAACGUAGCUAACGCGUGAAGUUGACCGCCUGGGGAGUACGGUCGCAAGAUUAAAACUCAAAUGAAUUGACGGGGUCAUAGCUGUUUCCU